rnacentral:misc_RNA from 1 species
GAUGAAGAACGCAGCGAAAUGCGAUACUUGGUGUGAAUUGCAGAAUCCCGUGAACCAUCGAGUCUUUGAACGCAAGUUGCGCCUCAAGCCAUUAGGUUGAGGGCACGUCUGCCUGGGCGUCACAUAUCGUUGCCUGAUGCCAGUUUCCUCGUGAUGGGUGACUGUGCAGGGCGAAUGAUGGCUUCCCGUGAGCAUUGUUGCCUCAUGGUUGGUUGAAAAUUGAGUCCUUGGUAGGGAGCGCCGUGAUAGAUGGUGGAUGAGUGACGAACGAGACCCAAUCAUGUGAGACCCCUACCGAAUUUGGCCUUCAUGACCCACAUGCGUCUUUGGAACGCUCAUGACGAGACCUCAGGUCAGGCGGGGCUACCCGCUGAGUUUAAGCAUAUCAAUAAGCGGAGGA